GGAACGAACGCUGGCGGCGUGGAUAAGACAUGCAAGUCGAACGGGAUAUUCUUGGUAGCAAUAUCAAGGAUGUCUAGUGGCGUAAGGGUGCGUAACACGUGGGGAAUCUGCCGAGAAGUGGGGGAUAGCUCGUCGAAAGGCGAAUUAAUACCGCAUGUGGUUAGUGAAGACAUCUUCACGAUACCAAAGCCGGGGCAACCUGGCGCUUCUUGAUGACCCCGCGGCCUAUCAGCUAGUUGGUGAGGUAAUGGCUUACCAAGGCGACGACGGGUA
rnacentral:rRNA from 1 species